rnacentral:rRNA from 1 species
AACGCGAAGAACCUUACCAGCUUUUGACAUGUCCCGUAUGAGAAACAGAAAUGUAUCUCUUCACUUCGGGUGGCGGGAACACAGGUGCUGCAUGGCUGUCGUCAGCUCGUGUCGUGAGAUGUUGGGUUAAGUCCCGCAACGAGCGCAACCCUCGCCCUUAGUUGCCAUCAUUCAGUUGGGCACUCUAAGGGGACUGCCGGUGAUAAGCCGCGAGGAAGGUGGGGAUGACGUCAAGUCCUCAUGGCCCUUACAGGCUGGGCUACACACGUGCUACAAUGGCGGUGACAAUGGGAGGCAAUGGCGCGAGCCUGCGCAAAUCUCAAAAAGCCGUCUCAGUUCGGAUUGCACUCUGCAACUCGAGUGCAUGAAGUUGGAAUCGCUAGUAAUCGCGGAUCAGCACGCCGCGGGAAUACGUUCCCGGGUCUUGUCACCGAAGG